rnacentral:lncRNA from 1 species
GAAGGCAUCAGACAAUAUUAUUAUGAGGCUGAUGGCAUUAUCAUUCCAGUACAGAUAUUGUUGGAUAAUUUUAUAUACCAAAGAAACAUUAAAUUCAGACUUAUAAUUGCCCCAGGAGUAGAAGCAACUGCCUUGAUAAUUCGACAGAUUGCUGACCACAAUUUAAUGACCUCAAAGAGAGAUCCUCAUGAAUGGUUGGAUAAAUCCUGGCUUGAAGUUUCACCGUCUGAGGUAUAUUUUCUAAAUGUAUAAAUUAGAUAUUAGCAAAGCAAGUAUAAAACCCUGUAUUUGAAUUUACUUUCUGGUAACAAUUUUUCCCCAAAUGUCUCAAAUUGAGUGGUAGGUGCAAUGACAACAUUUUUAAUCUGCUGCAAUGAGUAGAAUAAAAUGG